GCAGAGGUUACCUUGAGCAGGGACCACAGACCACCGGUUGUAUAUCUUCAUUUUAAAACUGUAGCCACAGAUGCCUGCUGUACUGAGAAUGUGAUUCUCUCCCUAGGACCCACAAGAAGAAGGAUGCUAAUGAUGUUCCAAGUGUUGACGGUUCUCUGGCCCCAGGAGACAGCCUGGAAGACUUCAUUAAGAACCCAGGAUAUGCCAAGACUUCUCUCCCAGGUACUGAAGCUGCAGGAGCAGAUAAAGCAGGCAUCAUGGUGUUCUGGGGAUGAUGCCCCCAAGGGAAGCCAGUUCCUGAUCCUACUGCAUGCCUGCCUUUGCUAUUGAUGGGAUUCAAGACAUGCUACCCCCAGAUAUGCACCUUGGCAUUUGAGAAAAUGGCAGAAACACAAGGUCAUUCUCCUCUUCCCCUCUGCCUUUCUCCCCUGAAGCAGAUCAUAAAACCUAGGAAGGAUUUUCCUGAACUUCCCCUGAUGCAGGUCGUAAGAUCCUCAUGUGAGAGGUACCCUUGCUUCCCAGAAGGAAAAGAACAGUCUUAUCUCUGGAAACACAGGGACACAUAGAAGAAUCUGGACAAACAGGCCUGGCUAAGCAUCUCCAGCUCAUCACCAUUAAUCAUACCCCCUUUAGUCACACUUCACAAAGACCUGCUUCUUCAUUCAAGCUUAAAACACAAUGGUAUACCCAUUUCUUUUGGUCUUCGUUUCCUUACGGGAGUUUCCAUGGUCACAUAAACCUUUUAUUAAAUAAACUUGCAUAGUUUAUUCUUAUCUUUUGUUAUAGGGGCCUCAGUCAUGAAUUUUGCAAUGAGUGAAGAAAAGAUAUUUUCCCUCCCCUACACCACUGGAUACGCUUGGCAACUGCUUACUCCCUCCACCCCCUCGAAUCUGACUUCCACCCCUCCGUGUCCUCUAGGCUAUGUCAGUUGAAGCUGCCAAUGACCUUCUUGACUUAAAUCCAAAGCACAUCUCUUGGACGUCCUCAUACCUCACCUUUCUGUAUUUACCAUGUUGAGCCAUCGCCUUCUUCUUGAACUGGUGCCCUCCCUUGGCUUUGGGCUGCCAUGCCCCCUGCUGUGCACUCUCUUAUUCAGAUGAAGAAUCUCAGGCCUUCUGUCUCUCUCUCUCUCUCUCUCCUCCCUUAGCCACCUACAUUCACACUCAUGGCUUCAGUCAACACUGCACACAGACACCUCUGGAACCUGUAUCUCCAGCUCCCAUGUCCUCUCUGAGCUCCUAAACCAUACGGCUCAUGGCCUGCUUGGUUGGAUGUCUUCAAAACACCACAAUGUCAAAAAGUUAUAACCCUUCAGUUUUUCAAGGCACAGCCAGUCUUAUAUAUUUGGAUAAAUGGCCUACCAUGCACCGAGUAAAUAAGCCAGAAAUCUAGGACUCACUCUUGCCAACUCUCCUCGUCUUCAUCUAGCACUCCCAAUACCUCACUAAUCUUCCCAGUUAUAUCUCUGGACAUCCAUCCUACUCACAGAGCUUUUUCUGGCUCCAGUGCCUCCACCCUGAAAGCCACUGAACUUUGUGCCAGUGCCUCUUCCCUAAUGCCCUUCACUCACUCUCGUCCCCUCCAAGCUAUACUUUUUACUAUUUUCUUUUUAAGAAUAAUUUUAUAAUCAUUGCCCAGAUCAAGAAGUAAACCUUGGCCAGAGUCUUAGAGAGAGUCUGUGACUGUUUCACGCUUCUUCCCAAUACAUCCCCCAUCCCUUCUCCUUACAGAUCUUCUCUGUC
rnacentral:lncRNA from 1 species